rnacentral:tRNA from 1 species
GGAGGUAUAGCUCGGUGGCAUUGCACAUGCUUAGCAUGCAUGAGGUCCUGAGUUCAACUCCCAGUACCCUCA